AGAACUUGAAAAAAUUGUUAGCCAAUUACCAAUGCGUAUGAUGAAGUUGGAAAUAUCUCGAAUUUUUAUACAGAAAUGGAGCAGCUGUUCCUCGAGAUUAGAAAAAGACCAAAGACUUUGGAUACCAGGUUUAUUAAGAUAAAAGGGAGAGUACCAACUAAAAAGGAUCUUGAUCAGGUAGAAGAUGACGUAAAAUAUGUAAGGGACAGUUGGACCAACCAGUUCUCAACAUUCGCCUUACUUGAUGUGGAUCUGGACGGAAUCGGAUAUGAUGGAGAUUUGAGGGGCCAAUUUGCAGGUAUCAAAGACGACUUUGAUGCAGAAGUGAGUGCAAUAGAACGGUCAAUGAAUGGAGAUAUACUGUUAUUGAGUGAUAAUACCAGGGACGUUCAGAUGUUGGAAAAGUAUUUUGGGCAAUGAAAAGGAAGUAAAGACACAG